rnacentral:rRNA from 1 species
UACGGGGGGGGGCAAGCGUUGUUCGGAAUUACUGGGCGUAAAGGGCCAGUAGGCGGCCAACUAAGUCCGACGUGAAAUCCCAAGGCUUAACCUUGGAACUGCGUCGGAUACUGGAUGGCUUGAAUUCGGGAGAGGGAUGCAGAAUUCCAGGUGUAGCGGUGAAAUGCGUAGAUAUCUGGAGGAACACCGGUGGCGAAGGCGACGUCCUGGACCGGCAUUGACGCUGAGGCGCGAAAGCCAGGGGAGCAAACGGG